rnacentral:tRNA from 1 species
GGAGAGGUGGCCGAGUGGCUGAAGGCGACGGUUUGCUAAACCGUUAUACUCUCUUUUGGGUAUCAAGGGUUCGAAUCCCUUCCUCUCCGCCA